rnacentral:rRNA from 1 species
GACAGAGGGCUCAAACGUUGUUCGGAAUCACUGGGCAUAAAGGGCGCGUAGGCGGCCUAACAAGUCGUUUGUGAAAUCCCCCAGCUCAACUGGGGAACUGCAUGCGAUACUGUUUGGCUCGAGGACGGGAGGGGUAAGUGGAACUCCAGGUGGAACGGUGAAAUGUGUAGAUAUCUGGAGGAACACCGGUGGCGAAAGCGGCUUACUGGCCCGUAUCUGACGCUGAGGCGCGAAAGCUAGGGGAGCAAACGGG